rnacentral:rRNA from 1 species
CACGUAGGGUGCGAGCGUUGUCCGGAAUUAUUGGGCGUAAAGAGCUCGUAGGCGGUGUGUCGCGUCGGCCGUGAAAACCUGCAGCUUAACUGUGGGCUUGCGGUCGAUACGGGCAUCACUGGAGUUCGGCAGGGGAGACUGGAAUUCCUGGUGUAGCGGUGAAAUGCGCAGAUAUCAGGAGGAACACCGGUGGCGAAGGCGGUUCUCUGGGCAUUACCUGACGCUGAGGAGCGAAAGUGUGGGGAGCGAACAGG